GGAACCCCACACGCUGAAAAUCCUAGCGGCUAGCGGUCAAAUGAAGUUUUAACCGUGGUUUUAACCAAGAAAACUAGUAACAAGUUGAUUUGUUGUAACGUGAAUUACGAGUCAAAUGAAUAAGUUACAGAAAGAAUCAAUGAAACAUUGUCGCACUUAUUUUAUAAGUCUUUAAUUGACGUUGUCCCUUUCUAAAGUAACGCUACUAUCACAUUGUGGUGUGUAGUAGAGCUGAAAAAGGAAUGAACCCUAAUAUGAAUCCAUUGGAUGGUAGUGGCGUUGAAAAGAGGCCACCGGAGGUCAGCCAAACUUUACAAAAUAUAACUGCGAUUCAGAAUACUCAAAACAUUGCUCAGAGUAGUGUUCCAAGUAUUCAGCCGCAGCAGACUAUUGUUGGUACAUCAUCAGCACUACUUGGUAAAUCUGUAUCUCUGGAUCUUAAUCCAAAACUAUCUUUGAUGAAAUCUCCGAGCCAACCUGGGAACGUAUCAACAGAACAAAGCAAAAUUACUACAACGUUAUGUCCUGUUGGUUCAACGGUAAGGAUAAUAUCUCCUGGGAUGUUAAACAGUGUUGAGAGGCAGAGGGACCAACCUCAGCAGACACCACAAAUUGUUUCGAGUAUACCUGCAACUUAUCAUGUACCUCGAGGUCCAGCUGCAGUGGCCAACAUUUCGGCUCCUAGAUCUACAGUUGCUACUCCAAUUGUCAGAGCAAGCACCAGUCAGCCGGUACCAAUCUCAAGGCCUGGUCCUAGUACAACAUCGCCGAGCACACAGUGGCAGCCGAAAGCAACGUCCGUUGUAUAUGCUACACAGCCUCAACGACACAUCGCCCCAGCUGUGAGUAGAGUUACGAAACCUGUGACUCCGGUGUAUUCAAGCCAGCAAACUAGACUAAUAACACCUCCGUCUGCGAGGCCAGUACAGGCUACUGUAGUUACGGGAGUUUCCUCUGCACCAGCUCGAUUGGUUACACCUGUAUUACAAACUAGUAGUACUAGUACUCGAUUACCAGUUACACAGACGAGACUGCCGAUACCGCAGAUCAACUUGACCCCACAGCUUGGAAGAUCCUUGGCUCAAACAAUCCCGACAAAUCAAACCAACAGGCCGUUGACCACUCCUGGAACAGUCAAUCGAAUGACUGUGUCUGCACCUGUGAUGUCUACUACUAGUAGGAUAGCUACAGCUGGAUCUCUGUCAAUUCAACCAAAUGUUGGAAGACAGUUGGCAAUUAACACAGGUGUGAGCACACAAAGUGGAACCGUUAGUCGUAUAGUGAUUCCUCAACAACAGGUCCAGCAACAGCAGCAGCAGCAACAACAACAACAACAACAACAACAACAGCAGCAGCAGCAGCAGCAGCAGCAACAACAACAACAACAACAACAACAACAACAACAACAACAACAUCAACAACAACAACAACAACAACAACAACAUCAACAACAACAACAACAACAGUGUUCGCCUCGUGUUGUUCAGACAGUAACUUCCCUUCCGAACAUUGGCGCAGUUGCCCGUGUCAUUACGACAACAGCUAAUGUCUCUGGUAUUCCGAGAGUAACGCAGCAAAAUUCUCCAUCAGUUGCACGUAUAUCUGGAAAUGUUAUGCCUCUGCAUCCUCUACCGAUGUCUUCAACGAGAGUUAUGCCGGCUGUUGUUAAGACUACUCAAUCAACAGGCUUACCUCAAACUGUUCAGCUUAAAACUUCCACUCAACAAUCUGGGCUAAGAGUUUCAACAAAUACAGCAAUCACUGGCACCGGUGCGACACACUCAGUUCAAGGUCAAUACUUGCACUCCCCACAAUCCACUACUUAUUACUCAUUUGAAGCUUCUGGCACAUAUGCUCAGUAUCGUCAAGCCUCUAUUCAACCGGUUAGACUCCUGGUUGAGCCAGGGUAUGAGGAGCCGCACGUUAAGCCUAACGCUUCGCCUAGACCAAGUAUAUUAAGGAAACGAGACCAUGACAGCUCGCCUGCAAAAAGUGCAGCUAAGAAUUUAGUGCCUGUGUUGGCAUCUUUACCUCCAGCAGUACCAACCUCGAGUCCGCCUGGUUCUCCAAGAGGAGAUCGGGACCCUGGUGGUUGUCAGAGUUCUGGCUCUACGACUGUGUCAGCAACUUCAUCUCCUGGCUUGGAUGAAGAGCCUGAACAAUCAAGAAUCACUAUAAAUCCUACGGUUGAAAUGUCACCACGAAAAAAACCCCGAAAACAACAACUUACAGGCGUUGAAUUGACUGAACCAAGGUGUACCGAGGAAGAGAUGCAAUUUAUUACCGAAGAGAAGAUUAAGAAAGAAAUUAAAACAGAAACGAAAGAUAAGGUGAAUCAUGAUAAAAAACAAAAUUCUAAUAAUCAACAAGAUCAUUCGUUCAGUACACAGCAACAAUCUUCUGCACCUGUUAGAAGCCGACCAACACCAUCAUUGUUAGGUUUAAUCAAACUAAAGGAUCGUCAUGGAAAAAUAGAUGCGAUAGCAGAUUACAUCAUUAUCGAAGACCUAGUGACGUGCGCCCGCGAGAAGAGCGUAGACCAACUGUGGCUGAAUUGGCGCAACAAAAACAUGUACUGCAGAAAUUGAAUGGUUGGAAAGUGUAUCAUCUCACAACACAAAUGGAGGAUUUAGCAGAUCUUGAAAAACAAGUGCAUGAAAAAUUGAAGUCAACCUUGUCAAUGCUGGAGUCACAGCAGGGUGGCCGAGGAAGACAGGAGGAAGGAUUGGAGCGUGCCAAUGAAUUGAUAAAGGGAAAUAUGCAGCGGAGUAGCUUAAUUAGUGAGGGGA
rnacentral:misc_RNA from 1 species